CCGUAACUAUAACGGUCCUAAGGUAGCGAAAUUCCUUGUCGGGUAAGUUCCGACCCGCACGAAAGGCGUAAUGAUUUGAGCGCUGUCUCGACAAUGCAUCCGGUGAAAUUGAAGUACCAGUGAAGAUGCUGGUUACCCGCGCCAGGACGGAAAGACCCCAUGGAGCUUUACUCCAGUUUGAUACUGGGAUUCGGUAAUGCAUGCACAGGAUAGGUGGGAGGCUAUGAAGCAGGAACUCCGGUUUCUGCAGAGCCGCUGUUGGGAUACCACCCCUGCGUUGCUGGAUUUCUAACCUGCGCCCGUGAUCCGGGCGGGGGACAAUGUCAGGCGGGGAGUUUGACUGGGGCGGUCGCCUCCGAAAGGGUAUCGGAGGCGCUCAAAGGUUCCCUCAGAAUGGUUGGAAACCAUUCGAAGAGUGCAAAGGCAGAAGGGAGCUUGACUGCGACACCGACGGGUGGAGCAGGUACGAAAGUAGGACUUAGUGAUCCGGUGGCAUAAAGUGGGAUUGCCAUCGCUCAACGGAUAAAAGCUACCCUGGGAUAACAGGCUUAUCACUCCCAAGAGUUCACAUCGACGGAGUGGUUUGGCACCUCGAUGUCGGCUCAUCGCAUCCUGGGGCUGUAGCAGGUCCCAAGGGUUGGGCUGUUCGCCCAUUAAAGCGGUACGCGAGCUGGGUUCAGAACGUCGUGAGACAGUUCGGUCCCUAUCCGGCGCGGGCGUAGGAUAUCUGAAAGGAGCUGGCCUUAGUACGAGAGGACCGGGCUGGACGAACCGCUGGUUCACCUGUUGUCAUACCAAUGGCAUAGCAGGGUAGCCAAGUUUGGAAGGGAUAAACGCUGAAGGCAUCUAAGCGUGAAGCCCCCCUUAAGAUAAGAUAUCCCUGGAGUAAUCCAGUAAGACCCCUUGAAAACGACUCAGGUUGAUAGGUCUGAGGUGGAAGUGUGGCGACACAUGGAGCUGACAGAUACUAAUCGAUC
rnacentral:rRNA from 1 species